rnacentral:rRNA from 1 species
UCUACGGAAUAGCUCUGGGAAACUGGAAUUAAUACCGUAUACGCCCUACGGGGGAAAGAUUUAUCGGGGAAGGAUUGGCCCGCGUUGGAUUAGCUAGUUGGUGGGGUAAAGGCCUACCAAGGCGACGAUCCAUAGCUGGUCUGAGAGGAUGAUCAGCCACAUUGGGACUGAGACACGGCCCAAACUCCUACGGGAGGCAGCAGUGGGGAAUAUUGGACAAUGGGCGCAAGCCUGAUCCAGCCAUGCCGCGUGAGUGAUGAAGGCCUUAGGGUUGUAAAGCUCUUUCACCGAUGAAGAUAAUGACGGUAGUCGGAGAAGAAGCCCCGGCUAACUUCGUGCCAGCAGCCGCGGUAAUACGAAGGGGGCUAGCGUUGUUCGGAAUUACUGGGCGUAAAGCGCACGUAGGCGGAUAUUUAAGUCAGGGGUGAAAUCCCAGAGCUCAACUCUGGAACUGCCUUUGAUACUGGGUAUCUUGAGUAUGGAAGAGGUAAGUGGAAUUGCGAGUGUAGAGGUGAAAUUCGUAGAUAUUCGCAGGAACACCAGUGGCGAAGGCGGCUUACUGGUCCAUUAC